rnacentral:rRNA from 1 species
GUAGGUGGCAAGCGUGUCCGGAAUUAUUGGGCGUAAAGCGCGCGCAGGCGGUUCUUUAAGUCUGAUGUGAAAGCCCACGGGCUCAACCGUGGAGGGUCAUUGGAAACUGGAGAACUUGAGUACAGAAGAGGAAAGCGGAAUUCCACGUGUAGCGGUGAAAUGCGUAGAGAUGUGGAGGAACACCAGUGGCGAAGGCGGCUUUCUGGUCUGUAACUGACGCUGAGGCGCGAAAGCGUGGGGAGCAAACAGGAUUAGAUACCCUGGUAGUCCACGCCGUAAACGAUGAGUGCUAAGUGUUAGGGGGUUUCCGCCCCUUAGUGCUGCAGCUAACGCAUUAAGCACUCCGCCUGGGGAGUACGGCCGCAAGGCUG